rnacentral:ncRNA from 2 species
GCUUAUCCUCUGGUCGACGGUUCCUCGAAGGGUGACAAAGCCCGAGGAUUAAAAGGGAACACGGUGUGGGUCGACCCGACGGGGACCCGCUGCCGUGGCUGCCCCCGCAACUGUGCGCAGGGUAGCUCUCGCCCCCUUAUGAAAGGGUCGGCCACUGGGAAACCGGGAAGGCCGGGUGAGAGCGGGGACCUGCGAGCCAGGAGACCUGCCGUCAGGACGAAGACGCGA